UUAUUUUGAAGUAGUAAGGACCUCCCUUUCCAUCACAUACCUGCGUAGCUACGCAGGUAUGUGAUGGAAAGGAAGGUACCAAGGUACCUUUCUGUUGCGACGUGCGUAUAUUGUUUUACACGCUGUACACUGUUAUGUAUUGUAUGAUCUUUGUGGCUCAACGAUAUCGUUUUAUAUACGGGAAUAGGGUAUAUUACGCAAAGCUCAGCGCAGAUGGCGCUACUGGUACAACUAAGAUUUACGACCAGAAAUACCUUCUACGCAAUCGUGGUGCAAGUUUAAAGGAAAAAUUAUUAUUACUAUUAUAAUUAUUUUUAUUUUAGGUUAUGUUCUGCAUUAUUUGGUCAAACUGGUCAUAAACUGAUAUAAACUUGAUUUUGACUGAAGAUCUUACCUGUAUGAAGUCCAAGCGAUUUUUCCCAAUAUUUCGGCACCCGAAUAUGCUAUAUUGUUGUAUAUUUUCACUAACGAAUGCUUAUAUAAUGAAAGGAUUAAUAAAGUACUCUAAAAUAAA